GUUCAGUGAUGUUAUAACAAAUGUCUGACCUGAACUCUCAUGUGGACAGUCUGUCACUGAGCAA